rnacentral:misc_RNA from 1 species
GCAAACUUGGUCAUUUAGAGGAAGUACAAGUCGUAACAAGGUCAUCGUAGGUGAACCUGCGGUGGGAUCAUUAAAGAUUAACAAUAAACUAGGAGUUUAUACUUCUAUUUGUGUGGUUCUUUACAAGAAUAAAACCGGUUGCCAGCGGGGAAAAAAAAACAACUAACUGUGUUUGAAACAUUUACUAGUGCAGAAAGCAGAAAACGUUUAUCUUCAUUUUAUUAUGAAUUAUAAUAUCUGAAAAAACUACAUCUGGUGGACCACUUGGCUCUUGCAUCGAUGAAGAACGCAGC